rnacentral:rRNA from 1 species
UACGUAGGUGACCAGCGUUGUCCGGAUUUACUGGGCGUAAAGAGCGCGCAGGCGGUCGUUCAAGUCGAGUGUGAAAGCCCCCGGCUCAACUGGGAGAGGUCCUUGCAUACUGGCGAACUCGAGGGAGGCAGAGGAAAGUGGAAUUCCCGGUGUAGUGGUGAUAUGCGUAGAUAUCGGGAGGAACACCUGUGGCGAAGGCGGCUUUCUGGGCCUUACCUGACGCUGAGACGCGAAAGCGUGGGGAGCGAACCGG